rnacentral:rRNA from 1 species
UACGGAGGGGGCAAGCGUUAUCCGGAUUCACUGGGUUUAAAGGGUGCGUAGGCGGACACUUAAGUCCGUGGUGAAAUCUCUGGGCUUAACCCAGAAACUGCCAUGGAUACUAUUUGUCUUGAAUGUUGUGGAGGUUAGCGGAAUAUGUCAUGUAGCGGUGAAAUGCAUAGAUAUGACAUAGAACACCAAUUGCGAAGGCAGCUGGCUACACAAAUAUUGACGCUGAGGCACGAAAGCGUGGGGAGCAAACAGG